AGCUCAGUUGGGGGAGCGUGGCGCUUACAACGUCAGGGUUGUGGGUUGGAUUCCCAC
rnacentral:tRNA from 1 species